rnacentral:rRNA from 1 species
GGAUUGGGAGGGUUCUACGGAACCCGUUUGGUGAAUCUAGUGCCGAGAAAAGCCUUCUAUGUGUUGGAUUUCUAGUACCCGUACCCCAAACCGACACAGGUGGGUGGGUAGAGCAUACCUAGGGGCGCGUGAUAACUCUCUCUAAGGAACUCGGCAAAAUGGCCCUGUAACUUCGGGAUAAGGGGUGCCUGCGUGAGCAGGCCGCAGUGAAAUGGCUCUGGCGACUGUUUACCGAAAACACAGGUCUCUGCUAAGUCGUAAGACGAUGUAUAGGGGCUGACUCCUGCCCAGUGCCGGAAGGUUAAGGAAGUUGGUUAGCGCAAGCGAAGCUGGCGACCGAAGCCCCGGUGAACGGCGGCCGUAACGAUAACGGUCCUGAGGUAGCGAAACUCCUUGUCGGGUAAGUUCCGACCCGCACGAAAGGAGUAACGAUCAGAGCGCUGUCUCGGAGAGAGACACGGCGAAAUAGGAUUGUCCGUGAAGAUACGGACUACCUGCACCCGGACAGAAAGACCCUAUGAAGCUUUACUGUAACUUGGAAUUGUGUUCGGACUUUGUCUGCGCAGAAUAGGUGGGAGGCUAUGAAACGUUCCUCGCGGGGAACUGGAGCCAUCGUUGAGAUACCACUCUGGCAGAGUCUGGAUUCUAACCUACGGGGACAGUUCCAGGUGGGCAGUUUGACUGGGGCGGUCGCCUCCUAAAAUGUAACGGAGGCGCGCAAAGGUUCCCUCAGGCUGGUUGGAAAUCAGCCAUAGAGUGUAAAAGCAUAAGGGAGCUUGACUGUGAGACCUACAAGUCGAGCAGGGACGAAAGUCGGCUUUAGUGAUCCGACGGCACUGAGUGGAAGGGCCGUCGCUCAACGGAUAAAAGUUACUCUAGGAUAACAGGCUGAUCUCCCCCAAGAGUUCACAUCGACGGGGAGGUUUGGCACCUCAAUGUCGGCUCGUCGCAACCUGGGGCGGUAGUACGUCCCAAGGGUUGGGCUGUUCGCCCAUUAAAGCGGCACGUGAGCUGGGUUCAGAACGUCGUGAGACAGUUCGGUCCAUAUCCGGUGUAGGCGUAGGAGCAUUGAAAGGAUCUCUCCUUAGUACGAGAGGACCGGGAGGGACGUACCUCUGGUGUACCUGUUAUCGUGCCAACGGUAAACGCAGGGUAGCCAUGUACGGAGUGGAUAACCGCUGAAAGCAUCUAAGUGGGAAGCCCACCUUAAGAUGAGUGCUCCCUUGAGGCCACGGGAAGACGACCCGUUUGAUAGGCGCUAGGUGGAAGUGCAGUAAUGCAUGCAGCCGAGGCGUACUAAUAGGCCGAUGGCUUGUC